GGCGCGGUAGUGUUAUCGGAAACACACCACUCCUAAGCUUAAACCUUGGUAUUCCUGGUUCGACUCCAGGCCGCGCCA
rnacentral:tRNA from 1 species